GCGAGCGUGCAAGUUUUGCAUUCCACCGCGCUUUGUUUAAGCGGAAUAGUUGACAUUCCGGGCGUUUCGGUAUAGUUUUCUUGUAGGGCCUGCUGCGGAAUAUUGUUGAUUUCGAUCCAACAUCUUGUUGCGAGCAGACCAUCUAUUACGAGCGCUUACACUCUCCACUUUUAUUGAAAUUUUGAGAGAGGCUCCCUAUACUGCAGUAGAAUAGUUUCAUCUAUUUUUUGCUGCUUCUACUUCGAUUUUCACAUCGGACACGGAGUAGGCAUGAACGUAGAUCUUCCCAAGUGAUUAAUAUCCUUGGAGCUACUUCAUUAGCCAUUUCCCUUUUGACUGUCGUUUUUAUACACCCAACCAAGUUUCUAAUAUAAUUCUUGUGUAAAUAUCUAAUAAUUUGUAUAUAUUGUCUCUAUUUGUAUUAUAAAUAAAACCAUUUCAUAUUUGUGAGACUACAGAAAGUUCGCUCUUCCCAAAUCAUUUUUUAGUGGAACCACUCGGACAUAAGGAGAGUGCCCCAUUUUAACAAACUAAAUUCCACUCUCCCCGGUUACACUUGGCGUAGUCGGCAGGAUAGCUUUGCUAUCCACUUUAUUUUAGAUUUGGGAGCGAAAUUAGAUAAAUUAAAUCAGAGUAAACGACAGUCAAAUAUAUAGGGAAUUCGCCUGGCACUGAUGAGACCGGGAGCUCUAGCUGUGGCGUCGUUCUGCUCGUGACGAUUGGGAGUCCAGGCUAAGCUCAGCAUCGGCAUAGUAGGCCCAGCGGAGGUUGGGUACCAGACCGGGUUGACUAAGGAGGGGUGUACCGACCCAGGUUCCUGCCGCCUUCCUUCCUUGGUGCCAUUUGAAAGAACUGCCAGCUGAGAACCACUGACUGACCUCCAGAGUGAGCUGCAGGAGUGUGUCAUCUGCUGCCAUUAGACGCCACUGAACUGUCUUCUUUUGGCGAAAUCCAAAAACAGAACUCCUUCCAUCUUUGUGGCCGUCCAUCGAUCUGACAGCGACGAUUGGUCUCUGGAGCGGGCUGUAGGAGCUUCAUUUUUCAUAUUUUUGCUGGUGGUGGUUAUAUUUCUUGCUUGUUGUGAUUCAUUGCAUUAUUAUUGUUCUCUGAAAAUGUAGAAAAAAAGACUAAAAACACAACGAAAUUUUACCUGUGAAACACAUAUUGUGCCUGCUUAUACACACUGUAGCGUAGAGUUGGACGGAUCCAAAGCUUUUUUAUUUUUAGUAUUUUAAUUGUUAUUUCAAUAUGCACUGCUCCUUUAUAGCUCAAUAUUCUUCCUCUCAUAGUAAUUGUUGUAUUUAUUUCAACAUUACCUUUUUGACUUAUUGAGGAAGUGCUUGGAAUUCUUGGUAUUUUUAAUGGAGCUCUGUUACAAUGAUUCUUGUUGAACAUUUUUAACGCCCUUGAGGCAGUUGUCUUUUCUUUUAUAUUUCUCUGUGCAUGCAGAUUUGGGACAUACUACCACUUGGGUGACUACGUUCAUGCCAUCCAUCCCUUCUUCCACCCCGUGAUUCACCUUUCAUUUUAGUUGCACGUGAUUCGACCGUGCUUGGGUAUUAUAUAGUGGAUAUUAUAGGUGCACUGCAGCUGCUAGAAGCUAAAGCGUGCAUAUUAGGUUGUCGUUGCUUGACUGCGUACGCGCGUCUUCAGCUAAACCCUAACAUUUUUGUACAUGUUUUUACUUUUUUUUAUCGUCCCAUUGCCAGUAUACUGAUUCUUUUUGUAGCAAUAUAUUGAAAUCAUAGCUGCAGAAAAAAAACUAUUUUGCAAAUGAUUUAAUUAGCGCUUUAGGCGAAAAAACCUUUUACAUCUUUAACCUAUGAUAAAUCUUAAAUGCAGACGCCAUAUCUUUUAUUUCACAUUGUACAUGUAGAUUCCAUUAUAUCUGUAUUGAUAAGUAAAGCCAGUAUUUGGUAAAUUUUAUUCUCUCAUUAUCCUAAUUUCGUUUUAACCACUGUUGGGAUUAGCUAACCCAACUAGGAUAAAUAGACAUGUUUAGGUUGGGGUUGAAAGACGUCCUGUAAAUAGAUGUUGAGGAUUUUGUUUUUUAAAAUGCAUUAAGUGUAGCCAGAUACUAGGGUUUUUAUAGUUAGAUUAGUGUAGAAUGAUUAUAUAUUGAGAAUUAGGUUAUUGGGUCCAUUGGAGGAUAAUCUCUAUUUCUCUAGCGACAUGCUAGAGGUGGACCAUAUUUUUGCCAUUUUUCUCUAUCCCGUCAUUCAACACUAUCUUGCAAUUUUAAUUAAUACU
rnacentral:lncRNA from 1 species